rnacentral:lncRNA from 1 species
GAAAACUGCCGUGGCCCCCGUUUGGUCAGAUCGUCAUUGCACAGAUACGAAUAUUUUGUUUGAUGAAGGCGCUCAAAGGUCUUUUGUAACGGAGAGUCUUGCGCGUAGAAUUGAAACCUGCAAAGAAGGAUCCGAAAAGAUUCAACUCUCAUCAUUUGGAGAAACCAACACUAAUGCUAGGCGACUCGAUAAAGCCACAGUUUAUGUUGAAACUGAAACUGGACAUAAAAUCCCAAUACAUGCAUUAAUCGUUCCAAUGAUAGCUACGCCGUUACAGAACUACAUUCGUUACAUUGACAGGAACAAUAACUAUUUGAAAGGACUAAAGCUCGCACAUCCAGUUACGCAACAGGAUACAUUCGAAAUUUCACUAUUAAUUGGAGCCGAUUUUUAUUGGGAAAUAGUUGAAGAUAAAGUUGUACGCGGAAACGGACCCACCACAGUCAAAUCGAAAUUAGGGUACUUACUUUCUGGACC